GGGCGGUAGGCCUGUGCUUCUACUUGGGCACAACCUUCGCUGGAGCCAUGUACAUCCUGGGAGCUGUCGAGAUCCUUCUGGUGUUUGGCCACGGGAAAGAUGACUGGGAACCUACGUGGGCCCUGCUGCUGACAGUUCUGAUAGCUGGAGGGGGGGGGCACAGAGUCAGCCCCAUCCCUCACCCCACCCCAGUCCAAGCAAACUUUAGAUGAUCUCUCACAUGAAUUUUCAUUUCUGCCCCCCACCAUCCCACCUUGUGUGUGUGGGUGUGGUGUGGGUGUGGUGUGGUGUGGUGUGGUCGACAGCCCAAAAGGACGAAGGCAAGGAAGGCAGCAGGUCCGGAUAGAAUCUGCUCCAGACUGCUGCAGGACUGUACAGAACAGCUUUGUCAGUGACAUCAUAUACCUGUGAGGACGCUGAUGAUGGAGCAAAGGUCUCAGAUGCUGAGACAGAUGCGACUGUCUAAAUCUAAUCGGCACAGAGAGGACUAUGCAUCUCUUUAAAAAGAGACCAAGACCAGAGUCAGCCCCAUCCCUCACCCCACCCCACUCCAAACAAACUUUAGAUAAUCUCUCACAUGGAUUUUCAUUUCUGCCCCCACCAUCCCACCUGGUGGGGGGGGGGCGGGGAUCCUCACCCCGACCCAGCCCAGCCCAGCCCAGCCCCACAUCGACAGCCCAAGAGGACAAAGGAA